UGAAGGGAGAGUGGUCAUUCUGGUAGUCAGUGGGGCUGUUUCUUCGAUUCCAGGCUCAUCGUGGUUGACUUCUCCGUCCACUGCAGUUCAGGCCUGCGGCAUCUGAUUGCUCUGACCAACCAAACAUCACAGGAAGCGAUGUGCGUGUGACUUCCAGGAGGAAGCUUUAAGAGCCCAUCGCCCGCCCCGGAUGCCUCUCCAUCAUUCCCACCAUGUGGAAGGCUGCUCUUGAAAUGCUGUGUAUUAACUUCCCAUUGCUGCAGGCCUCCAGCACCCGGAUUCCACUCCUCCAUUCUCAACUGUGCAGUUUAUUGCAAAAUUUAACAAGACUUUAUGGAAGGUUCUGGAACAGUGGAAGGGAAGUGCAACACAGAGCACAACCCAAUGGUUACCUCCGAAGCCUCAGGAUGGCAGGAUCUAGUUGUGGCCAGUGCACCCAGAAAAGAAAGGUAUCAUGGAAAACAUGGAUUUUGCAAGUGCCAAAAGGGCACCGCAAACCCGGGUUAAAGUCAACGGACACAAACAUACAGCCUGGGUAGAUAUUACGCAAAGUGGCACAAAGGAGGCAGAGAGAUGGCUACACCCUGGAGGGGUAGGUUGGGGGCAGUCACAUCAAGGGCAGUGAGUCGAGGAGGAAGGGAUGUGAACCACCUUUUCUCUCUCUCACAGCCAGGCCUCCAUGUGGUUUUGCUCAUGCUGUGACAACAAUAUUCUGAAACUGGGUUUCUCUUGUGCAUCAAGUGCGUUCAUUACAGGGGAGCAGUGGGGGAACACAGCCGUCAUUGUUCCUUCCCUCAUUUAUUCUAUAUGGUUUGCCUGCUACUUGCGGGUCCCCUGAUGUGUGUUGGGAACAGUCAAAAGAUGAAUGGGUUAAUGCAGUCUUCAUUCACCUGAAGCUUAGGGCCGAGACAUGAGUUGGGUAUCAAUCCAAUAACCACACGAAUAAAUAAACGGGUCACAGGACCACCUGAAACCCAGGUACCUGGUGACUGCAGCUCGUCCCUGACUAUGGUCUAGAGUUCUAACCAAGGAGGGAAAUGACACUGGGGAGGACUGACUUGUUUUCCCAUGAUCCAUAACUGGCUUCUGGUGAUUCUCUUUUCUAAACGUUCCCAACUUGGAAUUUUGCUGAACUCCAGCUUGGGAGGCCAUAUAUACCCCGGGAGAGAAACUCAUUUAUUAGAAACUGGCUGCCCUGGAGUCCUUGUUUAACCUUCGGGUAUCCUCGAGUCUCAAGGACGUCUCCAGGGGUCUCCACGUCCCCACAGGACCUGCCCGGAAGGGCGAACCGGGCGCAGCACAAAAACAGGGGUGCCCCCAGGAGCCUGUGCCCUGCACGCGACUUCCAUGCCAUCAGAAUGCAGCCGCCCCGCCUACAGUCAACUCGGCCCCCGCCCCCAGGAAGGAUCACGUGGCCGAGCAGCGCACGCGUGGCGUGGCGUGGCGUGGCGUGGCGUGGCGUGGCGUGGCAUGGCGUGGCGUGGCGUGGGGCGUGGUGGGGCGGGGCGCCGCGGGGGCGGGCCUCCGAGCCUGGUGCGCGUUCCAAUUGGUGAACAGGGCUCCCUUUUAGCCGGCUACGCAGAGGUCGCCAGCCCUUGCCUUCCGGCGUCUUCACGGGCUGCUGUUUUGGCGGGAGUUCGCGGCGGGUGUGAGGUGAGAACCGUGGGUUUGCUCCCGCGGUGGGGCAGGUCAGACCAGGUCUAGGAUAGUUCCGGGGCCUUCCCAUCUUGGGAGCCAGCUCGGCUCGGGCGACUUUUCUGGGGGGGGUGGCGAGGGUUGGACGGAGUGCGGACUUUGCAGGGCCUGCCGCGCAGAUGAGUCCUACUGUGGCUUCCCGGCAGCCUAGACGCGUCCAGGUCAGACGUUCGACCCCGCCACUGGCGCAGUCGCUUUUUCUUUAUCUUGAGACAGCUCGGGAAACGCUUUGCGAGGGGUCUGGUGAGAGGCCCGAGUUCCGAGCCCGCUCCUCCCUCCGUUCCCUGGGCACGCCAUGUUCAAGCUGCGGCUCUUUGUGGGGAACAGACAUUCCACACAGGAGAGCGGGUUUGGAUGUUAUCCCUUGACCAGGGGCUGCAAACUCAGCUGUGCACACGGGCUGGGUAUCAGGUGUGAUUGAUGUGGCAAAUGGUAAGGCAGUGCUUCCGGGCUUCAGCCAGCCCAGGCCGUCUGGGGUACAAGCCAGAGACGCCCGCUCUCAGGUUGGGGAGUGUUUUUUUUUUUUUUUAAUAUAACAGCAGUAGUUGGAAACCUGUUGUUUUUAAUAGAGCAAGCUCACUAGCUUUAAAUGUUGAAGUUAAUUAAUCAAAUUUUAGAACAUUAUGUGGCCAAGUAAAGUACGUAUAUGAACUACAUUUGGCCCUUGGGAUGCUAGUUUGCCACCUCUGCUAUAGAUGUCCAGGCAGGAGCUACAGAGUGACAGAAGGCCCUAUUUUGGGGACUUGAGCACUAGAAAGAUCUACCCCAGAACUGAUCUCUGGAUCUUAUGAGCUGAGUAGUUGACUCGGGGUGAAUGGGAGUUACCCCUUGCCCGUGUUUUACGCUGCCCCUUUAGGGUUGGCACGGAUCUAAUGGGGCUAGAUUUUAAGAGUGGGGGUGGUCUGAGGCUGGGGAGAAAACAUCCUCCUUGCAGAGUAGGCAGAACUCCUCACAUUGCAGCCUUGGCUUGGGAGCUCCCUGUGCCAAGUGUCUGUGAAUGGGGCUGUGAGAACG